AUUGAACGCUGGCGGCAGGCCUAACACAUGCAAGUCGAACGAGUGGCGGACGGGUGAGUAAUGGCGGGGAAACUGCCUGAUGGAGGGGGAUAACUACUGGAAACGGUAGCUAAUACCGCAUACCAUCAGAUGUGCCCAGAUGGGAGUAGCUAGGUGGUGGGGUAACGGCUCACCAAGGAGACGAUCCCUCGCUGGUCUGAGAGGAUGACCGGCCACACUGGAACUGAGACACGGUCCAGACGCCUACGGGAGGCAGCAGUGGGGAAUAUUGCACAAUGUGCGCAAGCCUGAUACAGCCAUGCCGCGUGUAUGAAGAAGGCCUUCGGGUUGUAAAGUACUUUCAUCGGGGAGGCGUUACCCGCAGAAGAAGCACCGGCUAACUCCGUGCCAGCAGCCGCGGUAAUAC
rnacentral:rRNA from 1 species